CAGCAGUAGCCGCGGUAAUCCGAAGGGUGCAAGCGUUAAUCGGAAUUACUGGGCGUAAAGCGUGCGUAGGCGGUGAGUUAAGUCUGCUGUGAAAUCCCCGGGCUCAACCUGGGAAUGGCAGUGGAUACUGGCUCGCUAGAGUGUGUCAGAGGAUGGUGGAAUUCCCGGUGUAGCGGUGAAAUGCGUAGAGAUCGGGAGGAACAUCAGUGGCGAAGGCGGCCAUCUGGAACAACACUGACGCUGAGGCACGAAAGCGUGGGGAGCAAACAGGAUUAGAUACCCCAGUAGUCCCUGUCUCUUAUAA
rnacentral:rRNA from 1 species